AAUUGUUUUGUUGAUUUUUCUAAAUUUUGCCUUUGUUGAUUCUUAGGUUUGAGAGUUAAACUUUCAUAAAAUUUGUUUCAUUCAAGUUUUCCUAUGUUGUAAAACUAUUUAGGCAUCUCUAUUUUCACCCAUAAUUUACGUUAAAUUUAAGUUUGGAGUAAGAAAUGCUUUAAUCCCGUUCCAUUUUUUACUUCAUAAUAGAAUAAAUAUGUAUUUACUCCAUAAAUAGAAUAAUCAUUUUAUUUUUUGUUCGCUACUUUAUUUUUCACUUUAUUUUUUUGAAAUAUGGUUGUAGUAAAUUCAACUCUAUUAUUGAGUUAUUUUAUUUUUGAGUAAAAAAAAUUUUACAUUGGAAAUGCUUUAAUCUUAUCUUGUAAACAUUAAUUUAUUAGUAAAAAAAAUCAUUUGUAUUAAAAAUUAUAUAUUAAUUCGCUAAACGAAACUAUUUUGAGGCAACUAAUUGAAAUCUUCUUAUUAGUCUACUUGACUAAAAAUCAUGUUGUAUUAAAAUAUAUAUAUUUAAUUCACUAAACAAAACUACAUUGAGGAAAUUAAUUAAAAUCGUCCUACUAAGUCUACUUGACUAUAAAUGCAUUGCGUCAACCUUGACUCUUCCUACGAGGGACCUGAUUUUAAAUGGUUUCUUUAUCGUAUAGAAUGAGUGGUGUGUAAUGAUUUCUAUAUAGUGAAUUAUAUCUUCAAAAUACAUGGACAAGACUGAUGUGAUUGCGUGUUUAUUAUUUGCUUUAACUCUUUCGCCGUAACCAUAUUAUUCAAUCAAUUUGAAAAAUGUAACACUUAGGUUAUGAACGGCUACCGAAAGGCGGUGAGGUUUCAGAAUCUUUACGAAAAACGCUUUAUGUACACCAAUCACCUAUUUUAUACUUCUUCUGUAACAUUAAAUAAAACUAAUUCAACCAAUAAAAAAAAAAUAUAGUAUUUUAUAAUUGGUCAAAAAAUUUAAAUGACAUUAAAUUUUACCUAGAAUUGUGAGAGCAUCAUUUAUUUUGAAAUAAAAUCAAAAUUCUUAAACACCAGUUAAAAUGAUACGGAGGGAGUAUUCACUUUGCGAUUUUAAUCAAAAAAAAAAAAAACUGAAAUCUGUGCACAGAUUUCGAUAACUUACACAAAAAGCAUACAUAGUAGAAACCGCGAACGCAUGUAAAUAGGUGUGGUUUCGAUUUGUGUUUUUCUCACCGCAUGGUAUCAGGUUUAUGUCUCUCCAUGGAUGGGACUGUAGUCUCUGGGAAGAGGUGGUUCACAUAACACCAUCUUCGCCGGCUUUUGUCUCCGGGAAGAGGUGGUUCACAUAACACCAUCUUCGCCGGCUUUUGUCUCCGGGAAGAGGUGAUUCCUUUACACCGUCUUCGCCGGCUUAGCACCGCUUUUGUUUGCGGUUUGGUUGUUCUACGAUUUUCAAUGUCCUAUGAGUUACUGUCUCUUGUUGUGGCGUUUCCGGUUGAUUUUCCAUUCCUGUAUUUGGUCGCUGCAUCUUCAAGGAUACUAUUAUCAUUAAAGAUUCUUGCUCUUAUUUGUUGGAAGAUCGAAGCUCUGGAUUCAAGCCUUUUUCGGUAUGGUUUCGCUGAUGGUGAAGUUCCGUUGGAGGAAGCUCAUGUCUCCCGGUCGUGAUGAGUGUUCAAGCGGUGGUGUUGAGUCCUGUGUGGCUUUCAGGCCUGGUUAAAGCUUUUGUAAUUUCUGUUUUGGGUUUUGUUCAGCCUUGUUCGAUGUUUAUGUUAGGCCAAGUUCUUUUUGGAAUUAAGAUUUUUAAUAAAACAACAGAUGAAAAAAAAAAAAAAAAGUAACGUCCACUUAUAUAAUAACUUUUUCACAUAUAUAUUUUCAUUUUACCGAUGGGAGAAUUAGCUAACUACACCUAACUGAAGGCUUAAUUAGUGAUUUACUCUUGAAUGGACAUUAAUGAUCUAUCUUAUACACUUUAAGAUGCAAGUAAACGAAAAUGUCCUUACUUUAUGACAAAAGCAAUAGCUUAGUACACGGACACACCGCUGACACCGCAGAUUUGUAGAUGCAGGAUAGAGAUUGUAGGUUUGUUGCUAGAGCCUUCUCCUCCACAUGUUUUCUCUAUUUUUUAAAUCAACUUUAUGGUUUUCCUUCUCCGUUCUCUUCUCUUACGUUCAUCAAUCAAGCUUUUAGAAAAAAAGUAAAAUUCAAAACUUGAUUUAUCAUUGUCUUCUACUAAGAUUCAAAAAAAAAUGAUGAAUUUUUACUAAGAUUCUCACAAAGAUUCAAAAAAUUCGGUGAAGAUCCACAAAAGAUAAAGCAGAGAUCGAAGAUCCAUGGUAGUGAUUCUAUGAAGAAAAAAAAUAUGGUUACGGCGGUUUUAUCCCAUCCGAUGAACGUUGUUCUUACCCCUUUCUGUUUCAAAUCAUAAUCUGUUUUCAAUUUUCAAUCAUAUUAAUAGCGAUUAUGUGUUGUGGUCUUCUUCAACCAUAUUUCAUGAGAUGGUGUAUCAUAAGUUCAAAAAGAACCCGCUCUUGACAACAUAUGUGUUAGUUGGUAUCUUUUAGUUAAUUAGCAGAUACCAUAUUUUAUUAGCUGUUAAAAACUGGUUGCUAAGCAAACAUGUAUCAGAUAACACUUCAUUUAUCAUAUAACGAAUUAUUUA